UGGGGAAUAUUGCACAAUGGGCGAAAGCCUGAUGCAGCGACGCCACGUGAGGGAUGACGGCCUUCGGGUUGUAAACCUCUUUCAGCAGGGAAGAAGCGAGAGUGACGGUACCUGCAGAAGAAGCGCCGGCUAACUACGUGCCAGCAGCCGCGGUAAUACGUAGGGCGCAAGCGUUGUCCGGAAUUAUUGGGCGUAAAGAGCUCGUAGGCGGUCUGUCGCGUCUGGUGUGAAAUCCCAUGGCUCAACUGUGGGCUUGCAUCGGGUACGGGCAGACUAGAGUACUGUAGGGGAGACUGGAAUUCCUGGUGUAGCGGUGGAAUGCGCAGAUAUCAGGAGGAACACCGAUGGCGAAGGCAGGUCUCUGGGCAGUUACUGACGCUGAGGAGCGAAAGCAUGGGGAGCGAACAGG
rnacentral:rRNA from 1 species